rnacentral:tRNA from 1 species
GGAGGUGUGGCUCAAGUGGUAGAGCGCCAGCCUCGUAAAUAAGCCAAACAAGCUUGAGGUCCUGAGUUCAAGCCCCAGUACCACCA